CCGCCGUGACGCACUUCCCAACGGCCCGGCGCGGCACCGCCCCCCCGCCGCGGUUAAACCGGCGCUCGCGCGUUGCCACGGCGGCCGGUUUCCCCCCUCGCCUCCCAACCCGGAGGGUGCCCGAAAUGGAGGCGGCACGCCACCGGCAGCAGCCGCCUCAGGGCCAGACCCAUGAGUUUUAAGCAGCCCUCUCACGAGUGUGACAGGAUUUAGUGGCCGCAGAGGAGGAGGGAGCUGUGGGGCACGCACGUUCCCUCCCUCGGUGCCUCGCGUCGCCCCGCUGGGCGAUGCGACACCCUGCGCAGGCUGCAGGGCCGGCAGCCGGAUUCCCAUCAUAAACCCCCACUAAAACGAGCCUAGAGCGGUAGUCACGUACAGCCAGAUAAAACGCUGCACAAGCUGAAGGAAGCGACUUUAUAACCAUAGACACAAACACUCCAAUUCUCACGGCAGCCACCACUUCAAAGUGUCACCACUUCCCCAGCAUCCGUCCCCGCGCGGCUCUCGGCCGGCGGGUGCUGCUGACUGAAGUACAGGUUUCCCCACAGAGGGGCCCCUGUAGCUUGGCAUUCUCGGUCUGUUUGGACUCUGUGUACUUAAGUUGGAGAAAGGGUCAGGAUUUCAUACCGAGAUUAUAUGCAUUUCUUGAAAACAGCUCGAUACAUUUCAGUGACUAAGAAGAGGCCUGACUGGGGACCAUCACUACUGAACUGCAAACCAGUAAACACAUUAUUCUCUGUCUCUGUAAAGAAACAGAUGAAUUUAAAAAUUAACUUCUGAAUAUUAUGCUUGCUUCAGUUUAGAAGGCAGACCCACCUAUUUUAUGCCAGUCAUCCGUCCUCCACCAAAUUCCAGAAGGAGCAGUGUUAUCAUCUUCAGAUGUCAUGCUUUCCAGGGCUACAUACAAGCCAGAAGGGUCUUCAGGCACCUCUAUU